rnacentral:rRNA from 1 species
GACGAACGCUGGCGGCGUGCCUAAUACAUGCAAGUCGAGCGCAGGAAACCGUCUGAACCCUUCGGGGGGAUGACGGCGGAAUGAGCGGCGGACGGGUGAGUAACACGUAAAGAACCUGCCCACGGGUCUGGGAUAACCACGAGAAAUCGGGGCUAAUACCGGACGGGUCAUCGGACCGCAUGGUCCGAGGAUGAAAGGCGCUCCGGCGUCGCCCGUGGAUGGCUUUACGGCGCAUUAGCUAGUUGGUGGGGUAACGGCCCACCAAGGCGACGAUGCAUAGCCGACCUGAGAGGGUGAUCGGCCACACUGGGACUGAGACACGGCCCAGACUCCUACGGGAGGCAGCAGUAGGGAAUCUUCCACAAUGGACGAAAGUCUGAUGGAGCAACGCCGCGUGAACGAUGAAGGCCCUCGGGUCGUAAAGUUCUGUUGUAAGGGAAGAGCAAGUGCCGCAGGCAAUGGCGGCACCUUGACGGUACCUUGCGAGAAAGCCACGGCUAACUACGUGCCAGCCGCCGCAGUAAUAC